rnacentral:rRNA from 1 species
UCACACCCGCCCGUCGCUACGACCGAUUGAAUGGCUCAGGGAGGCUUCCGGACUGGCUCGGGGAGGUCGGCAACGACCACCCUGGGCCGGAAAGCUAUCCAAACUCGGUCAUUUAGAGGAAGUAAAAGUCGUAACAAGGUCUCCGUUGGUGAACCAGCGGAGGGAUCAUUACCGUGCCGGCGCUCAGCGCUAGUUCAACCCUUCUGUGGAAAUAUCAAAACGUUUGCCUCGGCGGGCCUGGCCCGCCGCCGGCACCAACACAACUUUUCCACACUGCAUUCUGAGUGGGCGUAGACCUAAUAAGUCAAAACUUUCAGCAACGGAUCUCUUGGCUCUGGCAUCGAUGAAGAACGCAGCGAAAUGCGAUAAUUAGUGGGAAUUGCAGAACUCAGUGAAUCAUCGAAUCUUUGAACGCACAUUGCGCCCGCCGGCAUCCCGGCGGGCAUGCCUGUCCGAGCGUCAUAUCAACCCCUCGGGCCACCUAUCCACCAUGCGUGGGCGGGGUCGGCCCGGCGUUGGGGCACCGCUGGCUGGUUUCCUCCAGCCCGCCGGGCCCCUAAAUCCAGCGGCGGACGCCUCCUGGCCACCCAGCGCAGUAUAAUCGCUAUCGCUGAGGUGCAUGGGGGGCUGCCCUGCCUACCGCCUAGCGGCACACACAACGUUUGACCUCGGAUCAGGUAGGACUACCCGCUGAACUUAAGCAUAUCAAUAAGCCGGAGGAA